rnacentral:rRNA from 1 species
GACGAACGCUGGCGGCGUGCUUAACCCAUGCAAGUCGACCGGAUAGGCCCUGCUUUUGUGGGAUGCUCGAGUGCCGAACGUGUGCUUAACACGUGAGUAACCUGCCCUUGACUUUGGUUUAACUUCAGUUAACUGGGGCUAAUACCGGAUAGCAGCUCCUGCUGCCUGGUGGGGGUUGGAAAGUUUCGGCGGUUGGGGAUGGACUCGCGGCUUAUCAGCUUGUUGGUGGGGUAGUCGCUUACCACGGCUUUGACGGGUAGGCGGCCUGAGAGGGUGACCGGCCACAGGGUGACUAAGAAACGGACCAAAAUAGAAAUAGAGCCAGAAGUGAGGAAAAGUGCAAAAUAGGCGGAAGACGGAAGCAGCAACGUCGCGUGCGGGAUAACGGCCUUAGGGGGGUAAACCGCUUUCGCCUGUGACGAAGCGAAAGUGACGGUAAUAGGUAAAGAAGCACCGGCUAACUACGUG